UUUCGUGUCUUUUCAGUUUUGUUCUUGGAGUCAUCGCGUUUAGUUAUUCAAAAAAUCAUACUUCGCGUUCAAUAGCAAAUCUUGAGUGUGCUUAAAUAGUAAUUAUACACACAAAAAAUUGUUUAAAUUCUUCCUUUGGAUUUUCAAAUCGCGAUCGAAUAAAGCGUGAAACGUUUAACAAACCACAAAAUUAAUUGGAAAAACGUGUCACAAUCGCAAAUAAACCAAUAACACAGACUUAAGUACAUGCAUAUCAAAUUUAAAUAAUUGUAAAUUCAACAACAAAAUAAAUGAAUUGGGUGAAAUUAAGUUUUUGGAACGCUCAUUCAUAAUAUAAUAAAAACAAAGUGCAAUAAUUUACUCACGUUUAAAAAAAAAAUCAGUUCAAGUUUUAAACCACAAGAACUUUACAAAUAAUUGUGUGUGGCUAGUGAAUUUUCAUUGAUUAAGCCAUUAGAAUUAUAAAUUUUUGUGAACACAUUUUUUUAUUUAAAAACUGCUAAAGAAAAACAAAAAAAAACAGCUUCAAAAUGAGUCUGUGUGAUGCUAGCGCCGUUACCAUUCAAGCCACCCCUCAACAACAACACCAGAGCACACAAAGCAUAGCCGAUUAUUUGGCACAAUUGCUGAAGGAUCGCAAACAAAUGGCAGCUUUUCCAAAUGUAUUCAAUCACGUGGAACGUCUGCUUGAUGAAGAAAUCGCGCGAGUACGUGCCUCACUGUUUCAAAUAAAUGGCGUCAAGAAGGAACCACUCACGCUGCCAGAGCCCGAGGGCACUCCUGUACAGUUAAAUGAGAAAGUAUACGUGCCAGUUCGAGAACAUCCAGAUUUCAACUUCGUUGGCAGAAUUUUGGGACCUCGCGGCAUGACAGCCAAGCAAUUGGAACAAGAGACUGGCUGUAAAAUAAUGGUUCGAGGCAAAGGCUCGAUGAGAGAUAAAAAGAAGGAGGACGCAAAUCGCGGCAAACCCAACUGGGAGCACUUGUCCGACGAUCUGCACGUGUUGAUCACCGUGGAGGACACACAGAAUCGUGCCAAAGUCAAAUUAGCUCAGGCCGUUGCCGAAGUGCAAAAGCUUCUAGUACCGCAAGCCGAAGGCGAAGAUGAACUUAAAAAACGUCAACUCAUGGAAUUAGCUAUAAUUAAUGGCACUUAUAGGGAUACGUCGGCGAAAAAUGCCAUUCCAGCCUGCGAGGAGGAAUGGCGCCGUGUGAUCGCCGCCUCGGCUGAGAGCCGCCUAUUGGCGCCAGCAUUGCCAACCCUAGCACCACAGAUACGCGCACCGCAGGCCACCACACUGGGCGCCCCCUUGAUACUCUCACAACGCAUGACCGUGCCGACCACAGCGGCGAGCAUACUGUCCGGCCAAGCUGCGCCCGCCGCCUUCGAGAAUCCCGCACACGGCAUGAUUUUCGCACCGUACGGCGACUACGCGAAUUAUGCUGCACUCGCUGCCGGCAAUCCCUUGCUGACGGAAUACACAGAUCAUAGCGCUAACAACUGUGUAUAUACGCCGACGCCACUGUACAUCCCCUACGAUUACAUACGCCUGCCACAUAACGGCAUAAUGCAUGCCAGUAUUGGCAGAAAACAUUCGAAUGCUUCGUCGUCCGUAUCCACCACGUCGGCAUCCUCGUCAUUUAUGCCGGUGGGAUGAAUUGUGUUAAUGAGUGUUGUACGACGAGCGUGUGUGUCAGCCGAUGUGUCGAGCAGCAGCAGCAAGCAAUCAGUCAACUGAACAAGCAGUCAAUUAAGCCACCUAAUAUCAUGUGUCUGCUUGCUUUCACCACACCACCACAUCAUAUCACCAACAUAGCAUACCUUGCGGGACGUAAUUGUGAGCGUAUAGACGAGGUGGCAUAACUGAAUUUACGAUGUAACCAACAACAGUGUACUCACCACCAGCGUUGUGCAACAAAAUAUGAUCUACUCUCACCUGAUUCUUGCUGGAUGCUGGUUUAAUUUUAAGCUGCUUUUGACUGUUGGCGCUGAAAUGGUCUCGUCGGGUUUUGUCUCCAACUCAGCAAUUGCUAAAUAUUAUUUUGUGCUGCUUAACAGUAUAUCAAUUCUAACUAGAACUUACAUCAAUCAAUCAAACUUAGAAUUUUUUUUUAGUUCUUAACGCCUUAACGUAAUACGUAGCUCGUUUAAAGUUCGAAUUAGCAGCGCGCAAGCACGCGCAAACAAAUGUAUAUUGAAAAGUAGAAACUUAAGCAGUACCACCCUGUAUGCGGUGUACGGUAAACGCGAAUCAGCGCAACAUUGUAAGCCAUAAUUUUCUAACAACUCUAAGCUGCGAACAAAAAUCAUGUACUUCUCAAAUCAGUAGACUCAUGUGAAUCUCAAAAAGUAAGCGGAAUUUUCGUUUCUAAAAAAUAACAGUUUUUCUUAUAUUAUAUAAUUUUCUAAAAAAAAAAUAUUUUUAAGUAAAGCUUUUGUGGCAAAGCAUUGUUUAAAUAUAAUAAUAUUAUUUAAUAUAUGAGUAAUGAUAACCACCAGCUACAAAUGCAACAAAAACAAAAAAACAAGAAGAAGAAAGAAAGCAAGCAAGCGUUAUGCAUAUUAUAGUCAUUCUAGCCAAUCAAGUUAUAACACAGUUUAUAUAAAACAUUUUUUAAGCAUAAAAAUUACAUAAAAUUUUUUUAAAAAGCAGUUAUAUAUAUGUAUAUAUAACUAGCUUAACGGGAAAUACAAUUUUUUAUAAAGAAAAACUAUGGACAACUACAACAAGAAAAAAAUCGAUCAUAUGAAACAAGAAAAAAGCCAUAUUUAGUCUGUAUAAGUAUAUAAAUUAAUUGUAGGCAUAAUUUAUUUACAAAUAACAGUUAAAUAUUAUAUUUUUUUGCAAAUAUAAUUAAUGAUGUUAUGGUUAAAAAUCACCAAUCAAUCACUGUACGCACAUUUGAAACAAAAAAAAAAAAAACAAAACAAAAAACAACAAACGCAUCUACAUUAAUUACGUUUAACAUUAAUUAGGAAUAAUAAUAAUUAAAAAAAAAAAAACAAAAACAAAAAGUUGCAGUUAAACUUACAUUACGUGAAAUUAUGUAUUCAAGUUUUCAUAAAAUAGAAAAAAAUAAUAAUAGGGAAAACAGAAAACGUGAAAAAAAACAAUAAUAAUAAACAAAAAACCUGAAAAUCAGCGCAAUUCAUGCUGUUUGUGUGGCCAAACUGGAGCUUUUUUGCUCCAAAUUUCGUUUAUGAAUUUAUAUAAGCAACAAAUACUAAUAAAAAAGUUUGUCAAAUACCGAAAAUUCUAAAUUGUUGUUAUUAAAUUAGUAAUAAUUACAACAACAAAUGAAUAUGCUAAGCAUAAUAUUGGAAGACAUGCAGUUUACAGUUAACUUCAAGUUGCUGCAAAGCAUGCUUUUAGGCUGGUGUUCUUGGCGUACAUUGCAUAUAUUUUUUUAAUAGUUUGAAAAAGAGAAAAAAACGCAAAAAGUCUAGAAUUCUGCUUAAAGAACUCGGAGCCUUUUCACGAAAAUUAUUAGCCUCUAGAACAAUGCAAAAUUUCAUCAUAAUAGUAAAAACUUUUGACUACAACUUUUAGGUGCGUUUUCCAUAAUUUUAAAACUUGAUAAAAUGCUAAAAAAAAUUACAAAAUAUCCAUAUUUAAAUUUUUUGGACUGUGAAUAUUUCCUAAACUUUCAAAACUUGUUAUAAAAUAUCAAUAUUUCAAUUUUUUUGACUGUGAAUAUUUUCUAUACUUUCGGAACUUGUUGUAAAAUGCUAAUAAAAAUUACAAAAUAUCAAUUUUUCAACUUUUUUUACUGUGAUUGUUUUCUACACUUUCAAAACUUGUUGUAAAAUGCUGAUAAAAAAAGUUUUUCAAUUUUUUUACUAUGAAUAUUUUCGAAAACGACACUAAAACUUAUAGAAAAUAAAAAGAGUAUUUAAUAGUUUGUUUCAAAUUUAAAUAAAUAGAGCUUAAAAUAAAGUAUUCAGCUCAAACAUUGAUUUUUUUAAUAUUUUUUCUAAUUUAUUUGUUUUUUAAACCUCGGAAUUUUUUUUUAAUUCGUGACGCGAUUUCUUUAAAAUAAACAUUAAUUUAUUUUAAUACAAUUUGUUGAGAUCAAAUUUAAAAUUUUUUUUUAAUAAAAUAAAAAUUUAUUUUAAAUAAAAUAAUUUUGUUUUUUUUUUUUUAAUUAAAUUUUUUUUAAAUAAAUUUAUUUGUUUUUUUUUAAUAAAUUUAAUUUUUUUUAAUAAAUUUAUUUUUUUUUAAUAAAUUUAAUUUUCUUUAUAAAAUUACAACAGAAAGCAACUGUAACAGCAAUCAUUUUAAAAUCUGCACGAAAGUGCUCACACUUGCGUUGAAAGCUCUGUGGCAAUUUAAAUUUACAUGCACGCACUAAUACAAAUGCAGAAAUUGUCAAAGUUACGAAAAUUAUAAUUACUCCGGAGCAGAUCCUUGCGAAUUUGCAAUUAUUUUAUGUAAUGUAACCACAAGCGCUUGCCACAAAAGCAUGGCAGACUGCACACUUCUAAAUUCCCACAAGCAGCCGACAUGCAACUGCACAUAAUACAGCAAAUUAACGGAAUUUUUCACGCAGCAGCCAUUGCAUAUGUAAUUGUAAACUUAUUAAUUAGCGAGUAAAUGAAAAUCGAUUGUGCCUUUGAAUACAUUAUAUAACAUAUGUACAUGCUGAGAAACACAACUACUUAAAUGCAGACACACUCACAGAGAAAUAUAUAUACAUACAUAUGUAUGUAUAUUGAUUGUGUAAUGUGCAAAAUGUGAGUGAGAACGGCGCAAAAUAUAUUAUUAGGUCAUAAUUGAAACAGCAUUGCAUACAUACAUGCAUGCAUAUGUAUCAAACUAACGGUAACUGCAUUGCCGUUAAACCGCUAAUUUACUUUGCGCAUUUUUUCGCGCGCAAAUAUCAUGAAUUCUUUGCUUGAUUAUUGUGCAGUAAAGCGUUUUAUUGUGCAACAAGCAAUGCAGUUACAAAUAACGGUAAUAAUUAUAAUAAUAUUUAAUAUAUAAUAGUUAAAUCGUAUGCGUAAAUCUAUUGUAAUUGGCUACCACACCCACACACACACAAACUUGUUAGUUUAAAGCGUUUGCAAUUAGUAGUAAUUUAAUGAAAAUUAUAACGGUAGCAAAAUGUCGAAUGAAGCGUUAUAAUUAAACGCUAAUGAUAAUGAUAAUAAUAAUAUUAAUUAAAUAUACUCAAUAAAGUGCAAUUAAAAACUAUCAUAUUAAUAUAAUUCUAAUGCAAUAAGAAAAAUUGCAAACAAAAUUACUUAAAAAGCAUAAAAAUGCUGCAAAAAUUAAAAAAUAAAAAUUCUGCAAAAUUAAAAAAUAAAAAUUCUGCAAAAUUAAAAAAAAAAAA